UGCGAUACAUCGAUAUAAUUCGGUCGGCAGUCUGUAGUCGGCGCGAGUCGAGAGUUAGUGUGUGACAGUGUCUCCGUUGCGAGUUGCGACUUUGUAGCACCUUGUCGAAUUAUUUAUUAACAUGAACUCCAUCGAAACGCUUCUAGAAGCCGCGGAAUAUAUCGCCCGAAGGGAGAGAGAAGCAGAGGCAGAGCAUGGGUACGCUUCCACUCUGCGGUUUCCCGACGAUAUCCGGAUCUCCAAAAGGCCCAAGACGAAAAAAUCCCAGGGGAACAGGACGUCCCACAACGAGCUGGAGAAAAAUAGGUGAGUUUCCCUGGAUUAUCAGUGUCUGUGCGCGGAGUGUAAAAAAAACAGUGAUCCCGUGCUAAAGUUCGAUUCAAGGUGAUGCUGCUGCAUUUUUAUGCAAGGUCGACACAUACUUCGCUUUGCUUGGCAACAGUUAUAGUAAUCAUCCUAUUUACAGUUUAACUUCUGUAAUGAGAGAGUAGGUUCGCCUAAUUUGUGAUUCGACGGGGUUUACUUUAAUAGCGUUCGGAAGGUUGAGUGCACGAAAAUAUUGCAUAAUUUUGUUUUCGCGAUUCGGAAAACGAAGGACGUGGUGUUAGGCAGUUGGCCAGACUGUUUUGCUUCAUUAACUCGUUCACUGAUGGAGGAUUUUUGGACUCGUAGCUCAGUUGUAGGACUUUCAGUUGCUUCUACUCACGCCUUAUAAAAUUCCGUUGAAACUCCUGUAGAAACUUUUCAUUGUAAUUUUUGUUUGUAACAAAUUUGUUUUUCUAAAUAUUCAUCUUCGACAUUGAUACACUUUUGCAUGUAUUGAAACCAAUUCUCGAAACAGUUUUCCGAACCAAAUUUAGUAUCUCAAAAACAUGAUUAUGGAUGGUUUCAACAGGAAAACAAAAAAGCCGUUAGGCGACUAUGAGCCAUCAUUCCAAAUUUUUUCUCCCUCAAAUGAUCAAUUACCUGUGUGCUGCGUGGGACCUGACGUUGGUUAUUAUAUUGAAAGAUUGUGCGACCUUGUAGAUUCUUUUGGCAAACAAAUUAUUGUUUACCAUUCAGCGAUAACUAUUUUUUUAUCCUUUGAAAGAAUAACGACGAUAUGUUCAACGAAGCCGAAGAUUUACUUAAGCGAUCAUUUUCCUUCUUGCAAGUGCUUCCUGAACGAACAACUCUUGUGGAAAUCGGUUCAUCUCGAAAUACUCAAAAAGUAGAUGUUCAAUCUCCGUUUCAUAUGAAUGUAUAAACUUUUCGUCACUUGUACGUAUAUAUUAUAUACUGAUUUCGUAGUUC